UCCAAAAAAACUUGGUUAAUGUCAUUGAUUUUGGUGUGUGCCAAGAGAUUGUAAGAAAAAAAGGGUUCAACAUACCAACUCAGAGAGCAUGAAUCCAUGUAGAUGGAGAACAGAAAUGGGUAUGCCCUAAAUUCUAUCGAGCGAUUACUUUCUUGGGAAUAUGUGAUCAUGAUUCAUGAGCAUAACAUUUUACCAGCACUUUGGCAUAUGGAAUCAAAUCGGCAUCAAGGUGAUGUCCAUAUGUCACCUUUCCCAUUUGAAUACUACAAGUUUGGCUGGCAAUCAGCAAUAAUCAAUAAAGUGCCCUUCAAAUUGCCUUUCCUCACACUUCGUUUUCUGCAUGAGUCAGAAGCAUCAUCAUUUGAUUUGAUGAAAACCAGUAUGAUAUUAUUGAUGUUGUCACAUUAUCUACCAAGAGACUCACAGCAUUCAAGCUUAUAUAAAAAUCUCGUGCUUAUCUCCACGACACAUUGCGUGAUGUUAACAUUCAUAGCCUCACCUAGCUAGCUCAGACAACACACGAUGUUCGGUCCACAUACAUGGAAGCUAUAUCAGAAAGAUCCAAUGAAGGGAUCAUGCGGUUCGGUUACAUAUCGCUGGUGUUUUUUGUUUUUUUCAUCUUCGAGGGAUGGGUUUAUGCUUGUUGUUGCUUGAGCCUUGAGCUGGUGGUUUAUCCACCUUGUCAUUUUUUAUUUGCAAUUAUUGUUGGAGGGUUGAGUCUGUUUCAGCUAUUGCUUUGACCAUGAUCGAAACAUGAUAAAAUGUAUAUAUAUGUAGCAAAAAAUGUAUCUUGAGAUUUGAUGAGAUCCUUGAUUAGAGGCUACAUCAUUUUAAUUUCACUUUGCUUAAGGUAGACUACAGACUACAAGUCUUUUGAAGUCUUCUGAAAUAAUUGCAAGUUGGUUGAUGAAGACACAGAGAGACAAGAACGGGAGUGGAUGCAAGAAACACGUUUUAUGAGGAAUCAAAGCAUCAACUUGUGCCUUCAUUUACAAGGUGUUCUUGGAUCAGUGAGGCUAUCCACAAGUUUUGGCUUAAGAAACUGUUGAUAACUGGACUCGAGGAAGAACCGUAUUGAACAUUAGCUCUGUACAGCAACAACUACAUGAGAAGAGCAUCCACUAACCAAAAGGUGAACAUUGUGGGAGAAUAGAGGGAGACUUAUGCCAUUUGUCACUAUACUUUUGAUUAUUAAAAGGCCCACCAGAUUAAUCUACAAAAGUGCACCAAACACUGAGCAAUAUUCCAAGUGACUGAAUCACAUAUUAUACAAUUCUCUUAAACCAUUCCAGAAAUAAAAUAGAAGAAAGGUAAAAAGGCAAGUGCGAGGGAAUCAUGCAAAGUGGAUAAGCCUCGCGAAUUCUCCUGUUUAGAAUCUUGUGACGUUUCCAGUCUAUUCGAGAUGAAUCUUUUUUGAUAAA